AGAGGCAAUGUGGAGUGACUGUCAGAUGCAGCCAUCAGAAUAGGUGAUUUGGCUGAACUGUCAUACUCCCACAUCCUCCACCA
ensembl:miRNA MIR2411 microRNA mir-2411